rnacentral:snoRNA from 1 species
CCACUUCAUCUCCUAUAUCCUCGCCGGCCUUGACGAGGAUUAUGACUCCGUAGUCUCAACAAUCACCAUUGGAGGAGCUUCUUCCACCACCGAGCGUGACCUAUUCGCUCAUCUGCUCAAUCAUGAGC